UACGAAGGGUGCAAGCGUUACUCGGAAUUACUGGGCGUAAAGCGUGCGUAGGCGGUUUGUUAAGUCCGCUGUGAAAGCCCUGGGCUCAACCUGGGAAUUGCAGUGGAUACUGGCAAGCUAGAGUACUAAAGAGGGUCGCGGAAUUCCCGGUGUAGAGGUGAAAUUCGUAGAUAUCGGGAGGAACACCGGUGGCGAAGGCGGCGACCUGGGUAGAUACUGACGCUGAGGCGCGAAAGCUAGGGGAGCGAACGGG
rnacentral:rRNA from 1 species